AUCUACUAUUAAAAGACCCCCAGAAAGGGGAGACCCUCACUCAAGUCUCAGGAUGACUCGACCCCCCAAGAACUCACGAGAGACC
rnacentral:pre_miRNA from 11 species